rnacentral:rRNA from 1 species
CCCUGUUGAGCUUGACUCUAGUCUGUUGCGCGGGACGACUUGAGAGGUGUAGAAUAAGUGGGAGGAGCAAUCCGCCGGUGAAAUACCACUACUUUCAACGUCGUCCCACUUACCCGGUGAAGCGGAGUGGGCCUCGGCCCUCUUCUGGACUUAAGCUUCGGCGAUCCGCGUCGGGGACACACACAGGUGGGGAGUUUGGCUGGGGCG